rnacentral:tRNA from 1 species
AUACUUAUAGUAUAUAUAAUACAUUGGCCCUUCACACCAAAAAUUAACUUUUGUUAUAAGUACU